GACAAGUGCUGACCGCAGAUCAUGGAGGACUCUGUCAAUAAUGGUUAAAAUUGGCCGAAAUUUUAAAUUGCUUGACGGCAAGACACUUGGCAUUGUCGCUUUGAAUUAAAAAUCGGUGAACACGUCAUAACAAUCGAUAACCUCACAAAUCAGUCGUAAACGUCAUCUUUUCGAAUUAGCAACGAACCAUGGAUAUUUCAACUGAUGUAAUUCAAAAUAUCGAGAAUGACGAAUUCUACGGCCAGUUUCUGACACACAACUCCAAAGCGAUUUUAUCACAGUCGUUAGCUUUCACUGAACAACUGAGAAAGUUGGGAGAAGGCAUCGAAAUCCUAAACCGGGAGCUCCAAGUUCAGGUGCUCGAAAAUCACGACGACCUUCUAAGGCAGGCCAGCCAUGCCACUAAGCUGGAGAACGUGUUGAGCACCAUGAACAAUCACAUACAGAACUUAUUUGCCAACGCCGAGCGGCUGAGAACACAGAUCACGGUGCCUUAUGAACAGUUGGAGACACAGACCAAAGUAUUGGGACGUUUGCACAGGGCCAGUCAUAUACUAAGGCAAGUGAGCAGGGUUCAGCAGUUGAGCAAAAGGCUCUCAAAUACUAACGACCCUAUUCAAAAAGCCUCGUUGCUGCAAGAGUUAGAGCAACUGGCCGCCGAUCCAGAACUGGAAGAUAUCGAUGCCAUCACCACCGAGCUGAGAAACGUUCGAAUUCAACAGCAGAAAGUUGUGAAGCUGGCCACCGGCUCUUUAAAUCAAGGAAUUGUUAAUGAAAAUGCUAUCCAAACCUCAACAGCCCUGCAGAUAUUCAUCAACCUGGGCUUAAUCAAGGCAACCAUAGACAACUUUAUGGUGCAAAAUGUUGCUGAAUGUCGGGAAAUUUUAAAAGCCGCCCUGGAAACUGGCGGAAGCACUGCAGUGGGCAAGCCAAAAGGUACAUCCAGUAGGAUGCAACUUUCAACUUCACAGGGAUUCAAAACGAGGAUUUGGACUGAGUUGGAAAAAAGCUUUUCUGAAGACAUUUAUAAAAUCUGUAAACAAAUGCAGUUUCUUCAGAAGACGUUAAAUGAGAUUCACACAGAAAACAUUGACAAACAUCUUGCUAAGCAGUUUUGGAGCAAACUUGGUAAGGCCAUUCAGGAAGAAAUCAAACAGUCUUCAGCGGCUGUGGUACAAACAUUGGAACAAGACUACCCAAAGCUGUUGAAGAACUACUAUGAAAUGAUGAAGAAAUUGAAUUAUGACCAGUUUAAGUUCGAUCGAUCAGUGGUAAAAAAACUGGAAAACUCCUACUUAUCAAGCUCGUUAAACAAAAUCCUCGGCCCAGUCCAGUCAAUGUUUGACAACGAAAAUAACGUGCCUGGCCAUGAAGAAAUCGAUGCCCUAAUCAGAGUUAUUACCAGCGAGUUGAGCAUGGCUUUAGUAGAAGAGCAUCUAAGCGAGGAAGUGGCCAAAAACGUAGGAAAAUGUAUUAAAACCUUUGCAGUGAAUACCGAAAGGCAUAUUGGAGUCGGGUCUGAAGCUGCUCAAGUUAUAGGUGGAGCGCCUAAUGCAGUCCAACAGAAAAACAUCCAAUACGCCAAUGCAUUAUUCUACUUACAAACCCAAAUGCACAGAAUGUUAACUAAUAUGAAGGAAAGUUUGACUCAGUCGGGAAUUCGAACAAUAACUGAGACGGUGCAACAAUUGAACGAUUUAACUGCGCUCAUCAUCCAACCACUCAUAGAGUCAAUUAACGAGGUGGCAGAGACUAUUAUUGUCACGAUUCACCUGGAGCCCGAUUGGGCCAAGUUGAACGCGUCAAUCAACAAGAAUUUAUCGAGUAGCCCGUAUAUGAAGGAGCUGGCGCAGUUUAUUAGCAGGGUGUACAACACUUACCUGAACGGGUUUCACAACAAAGAAGUGUUGACUAAUAAGUGCAACGCGAUUGCACUGAGAUGCAUAGAACUCCUAGUGCGACACUCGUCAAUUCUAAGACCAAUUUCGCAAGGAGGGCGUCAACGUCUACAGUCCGACUACCAGCAUUUGGAAGAUGCUUUAAAGGUGAUUUGCCCUCAUUUAGCAGCCCUGGGGCGUCCUUAUAGGCAGCUGAAGUCUAUGGCUUCAUUAAUAGCGCAGACUCCUGAGGAAAUAGUAGCAGGGCAAGCAUCGGGAAGCUCGGUGCCUCAUAGUACGAUUCUGCUGAUGCUGUUCUCGUUUGCGGGCCAAGAUUUAGCCAGCCCGCAUCAAAACACAGGCUGGUCGUUGCCUAAACUAUCGGCAUGGUUGGACGAACAUCCAAGCGAGUCAGAUCGGUUAGACCUGGUGGCCGGAGCUUUGCAGAAAUACGAAAGUUUGAUAGCACUUACCAAUUCCACCAGCUACGAUCCAGUCUACCCGAUUAUGUCGCGGUUUUUAGAAGGAACUAUUAAAGAAUCAGUCCAAUAACACUUGCGUUCGGGCUCUGUUCAUAAUGCCAUUUCCAUUGUUCCACGCACUUGGGACUAUCUAGACCGAUUUGAACACAUGCUGCUCAUGCGUCAUAGCGAUUGAUCGAUGCCAUCCGUGUCCAAGACUACGGCAGCUCGAUCCGCCCACUUACUUUCAAAUCAGCUGUUCGAUUUAAGACGCAUUUUGCAUUUUAAAUUACACGCAAUAAAAAAUCAAAUCCGAAUUUUCUUUAAGAAAAUUGCCAGUUGUUUAGUGUCAAUUUCAAUAUAGCAAACUAAAUGUGUACUAAAUAGGCCUCGGUAACACUGUGUUGCAGUUGCGUGUGGUGAAAUUUUAAAGAAUGGAUGCAAUUUAAAUACAAUUAACCUACCACCAGUACUUACAGUAGUACAAGACACACUACCUGCAAUAUAAAAAAUUGUUAUAUGGAAAAGUUGUAGAUAUUAACAUCCAGCAGGCACUUGGGGUGAAAUAGAGUAAAAAAAAAGUGAAAGAUGCAGUAAAAUAUUCGUUAUUGGUCAAUUUGAUACAGCUACCUAAGAAAACAAGAUGCCAUAACCAAAAGUAAUGUAGUAAAGAAGACCAUUAGUACGAAUAAAUAAACUUAAAACGAA